GGAUGUGAGAGUGAUCUGGCUGUGACAUCUGUUAUCCCAUUGAUCACCAGGCUUGAUUAGGCUGAUCUGGCUCAUUAAGUGGGUGUCCUCUUCCUCUGUCAUGGCUCCAUGUGAGUCCUUCCUAAAGCUGUGUGGCCAAAGAAAAUGAUCUUCCCACAGUGGAGGAGAGUCAGCCUUUGGUCAAGGUAUACAGGUAGCUGCACUCCCCUGCUAGAAUCUCCAAACCAGUUCUCAAGAUUUUUAAAAUAUGAUGAUAGGGGCUUGGGGGAUGGCUCUGCCCUUAAAGGUGCUUACUUGCAAAGGCCACAGGUGCAAAUUU
rnacentral:snRNA from 1 species